GCCAGGAAGGAGCACCUGCAGUGAGAUAUGGUGGGUCUGGGCUGUGGGAGUGGAGGACGUACAAGACAGCAGGGGACAGGAGGAGUCGGUUUGCUUGCUAUGUCUCGCAGUUCUUGGAUAAUAGCUAAUUAAGGUGUUUUCAGAGGGAACAUUCAUCUUUGUGAACAACAUAAUCCUGGCUCCUAACUCAGGAGGAUGUUACAUAGGGGUGGCUCUGGGAGUUUGGAAACAGCACAGCUCCGGGACCUGAGAAAUAUGUGUCACUUUGUCAUGCAACUGACGCGGCUCAGAGCCUAUCUAGCUGUUCAGUAAAGAAGAAGACUGCUCUCGUU